UAGGCAAAUCCGGGGUACUCUAUGCUGAGAUCUGAUAGCAAGCUGUACUUGUACAGCGAAGUGGUUGAUGCCAUGCUUCCAGGAAAAGUCUCUAAGCUUCAGUUACACAGGAAUCGUACCCGAAACCGACACAGGUGGUCAGGUCGAGUAGACCAAGGCGCUUGAGAGAACUCUGCUGAAGGAACUAGGCAAAAUGGUACCGUAACUUCGGGAGAAGGUACGCUGUUGUUGGUGAUGGAACUCGCUUCCUGAGCUGACGACAGCCGCAGAAACCAGGCCGCUGCAACUGUUUAUUAAAAACAUAGCACUCUGCAAACACGAAAGUGGACGUAUAGGGUGUGAUGCCUGCCCGGUGCUGGAAGGUUAAUUGAUGGGGUUAGCGUAAGCGAAGCUCUUGAUCGAAGCCCCAGUAAACGGCGGCCGUAACUAUAACGGUCCUAAGGUAGCGAAAUUCCUUGUCGGGUAAGUUCCGACCUGCACGAAUGGCAUAAUGAUGGCGGCGCUGUCUCCAGCAGAGGCUCAGUGAAAUCGAAAUCGCUGUGAAGAUGCAGUGUACCCGCGGCUAGACGGAAAGACCCCGUGAACCUUUACUGCAGCUUGACACUGAACUUUGACCUUACUUGUGUAGGAUAGGUGGGAGGCUUUGAAGCUGGAACGCUAGUUCCAGUGGAGCCGUCCUUGAAAUACCACCCUGGUAAUGUUGAGGUUCUAACUCUGUCCCGUGAUCCGGGACGAGGACCGUGUCUGGUGGGUAGUUUGACUGGGGCGGUCUCCUCCUAAAGAGUAACGGAGGAGUACGAAGGUGCGCUCAGCGUGGUCGGAAAUCACGCGUAGAGUAUAAAGGCAAAAGCGCGCUUAACUGCGAGACCCACAAGUCGAGCAGGUACGAAAGUAGGUCUUAGUGAUCCGGUGGUUCUGUAUGGAAGGGCCAUCGCUCAACGGAUAAAAGGUACUCUGGGGAUAACAGGCUGAUACCGCCCAAGAGUUCAUAUCGACGGCGGUGUUUGGCACCUCGAUGUCGGCUCAUCUCAUCCUGGGGCUGAAGCAGGUCCCAAGGGUAUGGCUGUUCGCCAUUUAAAGAGGUACGCGAGCUGGGUUUAGAACGUCGUGAGACAGUUCGGUCCCUAUCUACCGUGGGCGCUGGAAAUUUGAGAGGAUCUGCUCCUAGUACGAGAGGACCAGAGUGGACGAACCUCUGGUGUACCGGUUGUGACGCCAGUCGCAUCGCCGGGUAGCUAUGUUCGGAAGGGAUAACCGCUGAAAGCAUCUAAGCGGGAAGCCUACCUCAAGAUAAGAUUUCCCUAG
rnacentral:rRNA from 1 species